UACGGAGGGGGCUAGCGUUGUUCGGAAUUACUGGGCGUAAAGCGCACGUAGGCGGCUUUCUAAGUCGGGGUGAAAUCCUGGAGCUCAACUCCAGAACUGCCUUCGAUACUGGAAAGCUCGAGUCCGGGAGAGGUGAGUGGAAUUGCGAGUGUAGAGGUGAAAUUCGUAGAUAUUCGCAAGAACACCAGUGGCGAAGGCGGCUCACUGGCCCGAUACUGACGCUGAGGCACGGAAAGCGUG
rnacentral:rRNA from 1 species